rnacentral:tRNA from 1 species
GUCACUGUGGCCGAGCGGUUAAGGCGCUAGACUCAAGAGGGUUAAAGCUCUUGCCUUCUGUGAAGGUAGCAUUCUAGUAGAGAGAUCUGCGUGGGUUCGAGUCCCACCGGUGACA